UGCUCUAAGAACAAUCCCAAGCGCCAAUAGUAAUCCUCCAGCUGUCCAUGAAGUCCAAAAAUCUGCUCCUGUGGCAAUCCCUGAUUGGUCAAAAAUUUAUGGCAAGAGUGCGAAGAUCGGUUCUUCGGUUCAUCACCAUGAUGAUGGUGAUGUGUAUGGUGUCAAUGGUGAUGGUGAUGGUGAUGUGUAUGGUGUCAAUGGUGAUGGUAAUGGUGAUGGUGGUGAUAAUGAUGAUGGUGGCGAUGAUGAUGGCUUGGUUCCUCCACAUGAAUGGGUUGCCAGAAAGCUUGCAAGAAGCCAGAUUUCAUCAUUCUCUGUGU
rnacentral:lncRNA from 1 species